rnacentral:rRNA from 1 species
GAGCCACUUAUUGGAUUGUGGUGUAAGCGUGUGGCCCGUGGCAUAGGUAAAUCCGUGCUGCAUAUAAGGGUGAGGCGUGAUGCGUAGACCUUUUGGUUGAUGUUGGUGAUCCUGUACUGUCGAGAAAGCCUCUAGCGAGUGUCAUUAUGGCCCGUACCCUAAACCGACACAGGUAGUCAGGUAGAGAAUACUAAGGCGAUCGGGUGAACUGUGGUUAAGGAACUCGGCAAAAUGCCCCCGUAACUUCGGGAGAAGGGGGACCAUUGUUGGUGACAGACUGAUGGAGCUGACGGUGGUCGCAGAGAAUAGAGGGAAGCGACUGUUUAUUAAAAACACAGGUCCGUGCGAAAACGUGGAAGUUG